rnacentral:rRNA from 1 species
AUACGUAGGGGGCAAGCGUUGUCCGGAUUUAUUGGGCGUAAAGGGCGCGCAGGCGGCCUCUUAAGUCAGUUGUGAAAGGUCUCGGCUCAACCGAGGAGUUGCAGCUGAAACUGGGGGGCUUGAGUACAGGAGAGGAGAGUGGAAUUCUCGGUGUAGCGGUGGAAUGCGUAGAGAUCGGGAGGAACACCAGUGGCGAAGGCGACUCUCUGGCCUGUUACUGACGCUGAGGCGCGAAAGCGUGGGGAGCGAACAGGAUUAGAUACCCUGGUAGUCCACGCCGUAAACGAUGAGUGCUAGGUGUUGGGGGCUCUAGGCCCUCAGUGCCGAAGGAAACCCAAUAAGCACUCCGCCUGGGGAGUACGGCCGCAAGGCUGAA